GCGCGGACAAGUGGUUGACCUCGGAUUAGGUAGGAAUACCCGCUGAACUUAAGCAUAUCAAUAAGCGGAGGAAAAGAAACCAACAGGGAUUGCCCUAGUAACGGCGAGUGAAGCGGCAACAGCUCAAAUUUGAAAUCUGGCCCUCGCGGUCCGAGUUGUAAUUUGUAGAGGAUGCUUUGGGCGCGGCGCCUUCCGAGUUCCCUGGAACGGGACGCCAGAGAGGGUGAGAGCCCCGUACGGUUGGACGCCUAGCCUAUGUAUAGCUCCUUCGACGAGUCGAGUAGUUUGGGAAUGCUGCUCUAAAUGGGAGGUAAAUUUCUUCUAAAGCUAAAUACCGGCCAGAGACCGAUAGCGCACAAGUAGAGUGAUCGAAAGAUGAAAAGCACUUUGAAAAGAGGGUUAAAUAGCACGUGAAAUUGUUGAAAGGGAAGCGUUUGCGACCAGACCUUCUCCGGGGGGAUCAUCCGGUGUUCUCACCGGUGCACUCCCCUCGGUCUAGGCCAGCAUCGGUUUCCUUAGGGGGAUAAAGGCCUGGGGAACGUAGCUCCUUCGGGAGUGUUAUAGCCCCUYGCGUAAUACCCCUCGGGGGACCGAGGACCGCGCU
rnacentral:rRNA from 1 species